rnacentral:misc_RNA from 1 species
GACGGAGGGUGCGAGCGUUGUUCGGAAUCACUGGGCGUAAAGGGCGCGUAGGCGGUGCUUCAAGUCGGGCGUGAAAGCCCGGGGCUCAACCCCGGAGGUGCGCCCGAGACUGGAGCGCUGGAGGCCGGGAGAGGGGGGUGGAAUACCCAGUGGAGAGGUGAAAUUCGUAGAUAUUGGGUGGAACACCGGUGGCGAAAGCGGCCCCCUGGCCCGGACCUGACGCUGAGGCGCGAAAGCGUGGGGAGCAAACAGG